rnacentral:rRNA from 1 species
UACGAAGGGGGCUAGCGUUGUUCGGAAUUACUGGGCGUAAAGCGCGCGCAGGCGGCUAUCCAAGUCAGUGGUGAAAGCCCGGAGCUCAACUCCGGAACUGCCAUUGAAACUGUUUAGCUUGAGGACGAGAGAGGUGAGUGGAAUUCCCAGUGUAGAGGUGAAAUUCGUAGACAUUGGGAAGAACACCGGUGGCGAAGGCGGCUCACUGGACUGGUAUUGACGCUGAGGUACGAAAGCGUGGGGAGCAAACAGG